rnacentral:rRNA from 1 species
AGGGCGUAUGGGGAAUGCCUAGGCACACUCCGGCGAAGAAGGACGCAGCAAACAGCGAAAUGCGACGGUGAGCGGUAAGCACGUGAAGAGCCGUCGAUAUCCGAAUGGGGGAACCCACACGGAGUCAUAUCCGUGUAUCACAUGUCGAAUACAUAGACAUGAUGAGGCGAGACGCAGGGAACUGAAACAUCUAAGUACCUGCAGGAAGAGAAAAUAAGAAUGAUUUUCUGAGUAGCGGCGAGCGAAAGGGAAAGAGCCCAAACCGAUCUGAGGAUCGGGGUAGUAGGAUCAUCGAUAAAUCAAACAGAGGAUCAUAGAGGAAUCACAUGGGAAGGUGAGCGAGAGAGGGUGAGAGCCCCGUACUCGAAAUGAGAGACUGGAGAGAGAUGACACCUGAGUAGGGCGGGACACGAGAAAUCCUGUCUGAAUCAGCCGGGACCAUCCGGCAAGGCUAAAUACGAGAGAGUGACCGAUAGUGAACCAGUACCGUGAGGGAAAGGUGAAAAGAACCCCGGGAGGGGAGUGAAAGAGAACCUGAAACCAUAUGCCUACAAGAAGUCAGAGCCCGUUAAAGGGUGAUGGCGUGCCUUUUGUAGAAUGAACCGGCGAGUUACUGUAUGGAGCGAGGUUAAGCAGGAUAUGCGGAGCCGAAGCGAAAGCGAGUCUUAAGAGGGCGCGAGUUGCAUGCAGUAGACCCGAAACCGGGUGAUCUAGCCAUGACCAGGUUGAAGUUGGGGUAAAACCCGAUGGAGGACCGAACCGACCCCCGUUGAAACGUUGGCGGAUGAGUUGUGGCUAGGGGUGAAAUUCCAAUCGAACCCGGAGAUAGCUGGUUCUCCCCGAAAUAGCUUUAGGGCUAGCGUCGAGAGAAGAGUUGCGUGAAGGUAGAGCACUGAAUAUGUGAUGGCCCCAUCUCGGGGUACUGAGCAUAAUCAAACUGCGAAUGUCACGAGAACAUGCUCGGCAGUCAGACAGCGGGUGAUAAGGUCCGUUGUCAAGAGGGAAACAGCCCAGACCAUCAGCUAAGGUCCCAAAAUGUAUGCUAAGUGGAAAAGGAUGUGGAGAUGUACAGACAACUAGGAGGUUGGCUCAGAAGCAGCCAUCCUUUAAAGAGUGCGUAACAGCUCACUAGUCGAAUGACUCUGCGCCGAUAAUUUACCGGGGCUAAGCAUACUACCGAAGCUAUGGAUCCCAAGGGAUGGUAGGGGAGCGUUCCAUGAACGGAGAAGUACGACCGAAAGGACGUGUGGAGAUCAUGGAAGAGAGAAUGCCGGUGUGAGUAGCGGAACGUGGGUGAGAAUCCCACGCACCGAAAACCCAAGGUUUCCAGAGGAAGGUUCGUCCGCUCUGGGUAAGUCGGGACCUAAGGCGAGGCCGAAAGGCGUAGUCGAUGGACAACAGGUAGAGAUUCCUGUACCCGUAUAUAUGUGAAGGAAUGACGGAGAGAGGAAGCUGCAGCCAGCGGCUGGAAGAGCUGGUGCAAGCGAGAUAUCGGGAUGGCAGGCAAAUCCACCAUCCGAAACGAGAAGGCGUGAAGCGUACGGAAAGCUACGGCGAGUACGGAAGGCAGUGGAGGAACUUCCAAGAAAAGUUUCUAACGUUAAGUAUAUAUGGCCCGUACCGAAAAUGGACACACAUGGGUGAGGAGAGAAUCCUAAGGUGAGCGAGAGAACUAUAGCUAAGGAACUCUGCAAAAUGACUCCGUAACUUAGGGAGAAGGAGUGCUCAUAGAGAUAUGAGCCGCAGUGAAACGGCCCAAGCGACUGUUUACCAAAAACACAGCUCUCUGCUAAGCCGCAAGGCGAAGUAUAGGGGGUGACGCCUGCCCGGUGCUGGAAGGUUAAGGGGAGGGGUUAACGCAAGUGAAGCCCUGAACUGAAGCCCCAGUAAACGGCGGCCGUAACUAUAACGGUCCUAAGGUAGCGAAAUUCCUUGUCAGGUAAGUUCUGACCCGCACGAAAGGCGUAAUGAUUUGGGCACUGUCUCAACAGCCCGCCCGGCGAAAUUGUAGUACUGGUGAAGAUGCCAGUUACCCGCAACUAGACGGAAAGACCCCAUGGAGCUUUACUGCAGCUUAAUACUGGAAUUCGGUAAUUCAUGUACAGGAUAUGGAUGGGUUGGCUAUGCCUUCCACGAAUUGACGGAAUGAAUUAUAAAGCAUUACGAAUAGGAUCGAGACUAAUGAGACUGCGAAAUAAGGUCUUAUCAAUGGCAAGAGUUCUUCGGGUUGGCCUAAAGAGUCUAGGUUUAGGUAAAUCCCCAGUAAGACGGCUAUCAAUAAUAAGGUGGUAGUCAUAUUGGCAACCAGACUGUUUUUGAGCCAGCCUCCGAUCACGAUCUUUUUAUUCAUCGCUAAAUUCUGUCCGAUCAGCGGGGUAAGAUUAUAGGAGAAUCCAGUUCCCAUUAUGAUAAACGCAUUUAUUACAUUAUUGACGAACGAUGCCGCCGCUAGUUCCUCCGUACUGUGCUGUCCCACCAUGAUGGUGUCUGCCAAUCCGGUGAUGAUAGCCCCCAAUUGUCCGAUGAUGAUAGGUACCCCUAGCAUUACUAAGGAUUUAUAAUAUUGUUUGUAACCCGCUAUUCUAUUGUACAUAUGUAUUGUUCUGUUAUUAAUGAUGGUGUAAAAAUCCUUGAUCGUAUAUACCGGAUAUACGAUAGAGUUGUUCUAAAUGAAAAUGUAAAGAUAAAUUAGAAGGAAUAGGGUGCGGAUACGGUAGAGCCUCUCGUAGUCCAAUGGACGAACAAGAUGCUUUUAGUCGUAAAAAAAUAAUAUU